CGCCUGGGGAGUACGGCCGCAAGGUUAAAACUCAAAUGAAUUGACGGGGGCCCGCACAAGCGGUGGAGCAUGUGGUUUAAUUCGACGCAACGCGAAGAACCUUACCUGGCCUUGACAUGCAGAGAACUUUCCAGAGAUGGAUUGGUGCCUUCGGGAACUCUGACACAGGUGCUGCAUGGCCGUCGUCAGCUCGUGUCGUGAGAUGUUGGGUUAAGUCCCGUAACGAGCGCAACCCCUAUCCCUAGUUGCUAGCAGUUCGGCUGAGAACUCUAGGGAGACUGCCGGUGACAAACCGGAGGAAGGUGGGGAUGACGUCAGGUCGUCAUGGCCCUUACGGCCAGGGCUACACACGUGCUACAAUGGUGCGCACAGAGGGCUGCAAACCCGCGAGGGGGAGCCAAUCUCACAAAACGCAUCGUAGUCCGGAUCGCAGUCUGCAACUCGACUGCGUGAAGUCGGAAUCGCUAGUAAUCGUGAAUCAGAAUGUCACGGUGAAUACGUUCCCGGGCCUUGUACACACCGCCCGUCACACCAUGGGAGUGGAUUGCACCAGAAGUGGUUAGUCUAACCUUCGGGAGGACGAUCACCACGGUGUGGUUCAUGACUGGGGUGAAGUCGUAACAAGGUAACCGUA
rnacentral:rRNA from 1 species